rnacentral:lncRNA from 1 species
UUGCAAGAGUUCAGAACAGAGCUUGAUGUAGGUUUGCCAGCCCCUCUGAACACACUGGGCCGGUGGCUCCAGCAUAUGGAAGCUGUGUUAUCUGAAGACAGUGGGAGCACAGAAGAUCAUGCACUUGCUGCCAGAGAUGCCAGACACAAGCAAGAGCAGCUGAAGGUCAGUGUGUAGACGGGUAUUAUCAUGCUUCACUGUGUAUUUCUGAAUUAUGUGUAUAUUUUAUGUUUAUUCUUCUUAUUGUUUCCUCAGGUCUUGGUUGAGGACUUAAGCCAGCACUUGAACACCCUUCAUCACUAUAGUAACACAGAUGAUGAUGGCUGUCUUCAAGUGCCAGUCGAGAAGCUGGAGGAGAUCAAGAGACGUUUCACCAGUGCCAGAGUGACAGCAAAGUACCACGGCAUCAAGCUACAAUACAGAGAGCAGAUGCACCAUGUUUAUGACAUGCUGGGACGUCUGAAGUCUAAGCUGAGCCUGUGGAGAGGACCUUACGGCUCCCAAGAGUCUGUGCACUCUCUGCUACAGGAUUGGCAUGACACUGUUGACAAGCAAGGCCUGGUGUGGAUGUUGAAGGAAGCACUUCAUAAGCUGAAGGACACAGCAGUCAGUUACACCAACAAAGCAGCUCUGGGUAAGUUUAUAUUGUUGGCUGUUCAGUUAUAA